rnacentral:rRNA from 1 species
GACGAACGCUGGCGGCAUGCCUAACACAUGCAAGUAGAACGCAGUUUCGAACGGGUGUGUAACGCGUAGGUAACUGCCUCAUAGCGGGGGAGUACCAUUGGAAACGAUAGCUAAUUCCGCAUACUGGUAGACGGACCGGCGUUGUAUUUGCUAGUUGGUGAGGUUAAGGCUCACCAAGGCCACGAUACCUAUCCGACGUGAGAGGGUGGUCCGCCCAACGUGGACUGAGACACGGCCCAGAAUCCUACGGGAGGCAGCAGUAGGGAAUCUUCGGACAUGGAGGGAAGUCUGACCGAGCCACGCCGCGUGAGUGAAGAAGGUUUUUGGAUCGUAAAGCUAUGUUGUGAGGGAAGCGGUAACUAACCAGAAAGGGACGGCUAACUACGUGCCAGCAGCCGCGGUAAUAC